ensembl:snRNA U2 U2 spliceosomal RNA
AUCGCUUCUUGGCCUUUUGGCUAAGAUCAAGUGUAGUAUCUGUUCUUAUCAGAAGAUAAAAUUAGGGAAAAAGAGAAAUCUGAGAAAAAGAUAAAAAAAAUCCA